rnacentral:rRNA from 1 species
ACACGGAGGGUCCGAGCGUUAAUCGGAAUUACUGGGCGUAAAGCGCGCGUAGGCGGCUAUAUAAGUCAGAUGUGAAAUCCCUAAGCUCAACCUAGGAACUGCAUUUGAAACUGUAUGGCUCGAGUAUGGUAGAGGUGAGUGGAAUUUCAGGUGUAGCGGUGAAAUGCGUAGAGAUCUGAAGGAACAUCAGUGGCGAAGGCGACUCACUGGGCCAUUACUGACGCUGAGGUGCGAAAGCGUGGGUAGCAAACAGGAUUAGAAACCCUAGUAGUCC